rnacentral:rRNA from 1 species
UACGUAGGGGGCAAGCGUUGUCCGGAUUUAUUGGGCGUAAAGGGCGCGCAGGCGGCCUUUUAAGUCAGUUGUGAAAGGUCUCGGCUCAACCGAGGAGUUGCAGCUGAAACUGGAAGGCUUGAGUGCAGGAGAGGAGAGCGGAAUUCUCGGUGUAGCGGUGGAAUGCGUAGAGAUCGGGAGGAACACCAGUGGCGAAGGCGGCUCUCUGGUCUGUAACUGACGCUGAGGCGCGAAAGCGUGGGGAGCAAACAGG